rnacentral:tRNA from 1 species
GCCGCGAUCGCAUAAUCUGGUAUUGCACAGGCCUGGAAAGCCUGGCCCGCAAGGGCAUCUGGGUUCAAAUCCCAGUUGCGGCG